GACGAACGCUGGCGGCGUGCUUAACACAUGCAAGUCGAACGGAAAGGCCCUGCUUUUGUGGGGUGCUCGAGUGGCGAACGGGUGAGUAACACGUGAGUAACCUGCCCUUGACUUUGGGAUAACUUCAGGAAACUGGGGCUAAUACCGGAUAGGAGCUCCUGCUGCAUGGUGGGGGUUGGAAAGUUUCGGCGGUUGGGGAUGGACUCGCGGCUUAUCAGCUUGUUGGUGGGGUAGUGGCUUACCAAGGCUUUGACGGGUAGCCGGCCUGAGAGGGUGACCGGCCACAUUGGGACUGAGAUACGGCCCAGACUCCUACGGGAGGCAGCAGUGGGGAAUAUUGCACAAUGGGCGGAUGCCUGAUGCAGCAACGCCGCGUGCGGGAUGACGGCCUUCGGGUUGUAAACCGCUUCCGCCUGUGACGAAGCGUGAGUGUCGGUAAUGGGUAAAGAAGCACCGGCUAACUACGUG
rnacentral:rRNA from 1 species